GAAAACUCUGACGUAUUCACAUCUCCGAAGUCCAAUUUGUUUAAGUACCAAUUGCGGCGACAUUUUGUUACUAGUACAUGAACCAGUAGCAUACACAUUUAUAUUUCAGCAUACGAUUGUCAUAUUGACAAUCACCAGAACCAAGUGAAUCUACAGCAACAGAUUCAUUUGAUUCGUUCAUUUGGUGACCCCGGACUUUUGGACAUUUAACCGUUCAUCUGAGUAUUGUUCCCGAUUUGGAACUGGGAUUUAUUUGGAAAAUCCUGCAUAAUUGGUCAACUUGGCGACCAAUUUACAUGCAUACGUCAUCAAUCACAGUUGUGAUCUUCAUUACCUUGUGUGAAGGAAACUAGCUGGAUUUAUUUAAAUCUACCCAAACCGAUACAGUCAACUUGGCGACUACGGUUGGAUACAAAAAAAAAAAAAAACAUUCAUCAUUCUACAUUGUCAUUAAAAAAUUUUGUUAGUCUACUUUGACCACCCUUUUGGUUGUGAGUAGAGGCACAGCCUGUCAUAACGACAAACAAAUUACCUCCAUCGGGUCAAAGUAGUACGGCAAAUAAUAAAAAAAUGGCAUCAUCAAGCAUCAAUGUUGUGCUGGACAGGCAAUUGGUCACGGGCGAAGAGAUCCAAAACAUCAUCAGGAACUACAAAAAGGAUCCCUCUGAAAGGAAGCAGCAGCCAGAAUAUUUUCAAACCCGACUUCAGAGGUUAAUGAAUCUCUGGAAAACGUUUUUAAUGGAAGACACAAACAUUCAGGAAAUAACUCAUGGCGCGAAAUAUGAGCACAAUUAUUUUUCUAAUAAAUAUUUUGAGAACAUUAAAGAAUUGGUCAGCAAAUACAACGAUGAGUUCACCAAACAAUUGUCUUUUUUGGAAAUGAAGGUAGAUUCUGGAUCUAUUACCUCCAUGGAGAAUGAGUCCGAAAUUGAGCCCAUGAUCCGAGAACAAAGGGUGUUGCUUGAAAGUCUACAGCGCAUCAUGAACAGAAUGACAAAUGAGACGCGAAAGGAUUUCAAACCAAUAAUAUUAAAAUAUUGGGAUGAAAUUAGAACGAUUCAUGUCAAAAUCUAUUCCAAAUGCAUCGAUCCUGUGAAAAUGGGAUAUAACAUUAACAGUUAUAUUGCAGCUGAAGAUGCAGUAUUAACAAUUCAAACAAUGACUGUAUCAGACCCUGUUCAGCCAUUUAUUCCUGCUCCACAUAUGCAUAAUGCAUUACCCC
rnacentral:lncRNA from 1 species